rnacentral:lncRNA from 1 species
UCAAACUUCAUGAAAAUGUCAUAGUACUCUUGGUUAUAUGAGAAGUGACGAACAUUUUCAAGGAUGUCACCACAUUCAAGCCUGCAACAACUUUUUCCUGAUACGAAUGUAGCUAAAUCAUUGAUAAGGUCAUGCAUGACAAAUUUUUCCCCACGAUCAUCAUCGCUUAAUUGUUGAAUUAACGAUCUCGAUAACAAUUCAGCAAAACAAUCAUCACCUAAUUCCUCCAACUUUUUCCCCCCUUGAGAACAAUCAAGGAAACCUUCUGCCAUCCACAACAAAACCAAUUGCUUCUUAUCGAGUGGGCAAUCCUUUGGAAAAAUUGAACAAUAUGCAAAGCAUCUUUUCAANGCUCUUUGAUACUUAACCCCACGUGGCGCUUACCCACUAAAAAAAAGGUGAGAGUUUGAAGGUUUUCUAGUCCCCCAAUUUCCAAAGGUAACUCAUUAAUGUUAGUCCCACUUAUAUCAAGGUGACGUAAACUGACUAAAUUUCCAAUAUGUAUUGGAAAUUCAGUGAGACUCCAGCAGUUUGAUAAAUUCAAGGUCUGUAAAUUGUAAAGGUUACAUAUUGUAUCAGGAAAGCUUUCGAUUCCAGUGAAGGAGAUAUCUAGAUACCGCAACAGCACCAAAUUCCCAAUUGAAUCUGGUAGCUUGGUGAUGUUUUUAUACCCUGAUAGCGAUAACACACGCAACCUUUUUUGUGACGGUAGAAAGUCAUCAAUCACCUUGAAGGAUAAGUAAUUGUGCCACCACGUCGUCAAGCAAAUACAUAGGAAGCUUCGCAAACAUUUAAAAUUGUGUAAUUUCUCAAACUUCAUGAAAAUGUCAUAGUACUCUUGGUUAUAUGAGAAGUGACGAACAUUUUCAAGGAUGUCACCACAUUCAAGCCUGCAACAACUUUUUCCUGAUACGAAUGUAGCUAAAUCAUUGAAAAGGUCAUGCAUGACAAAUUUUUCCCCACGAUCAUCAUCGCUUAAUUGUUGAAUUAACGAUCUCGAUAACAAUUCAGCAAAACAAUCAUCACCUAAUUCCUCCAACUUUUUCCCCCCUUGAGAACAAUCAAGGAAACCUUCUGCCAUCCACAACAAAACCA